GACGUAGGAUGCAAGCGUUGUCCGGAUUUAUUGGGCGUAAAGAGUUCGUAGGUGGUUUGCUAAGUCUGAUGUUAAAUACUGGAGCUCAACUUCGGGACUGCAUUGGAUACUGGCAGACUUGAGUGUGGUAGAGGCAAUCGGAAUUCCAGGUGUAGCGGUGAAAUGCGUAGAUAUCUGGAAGAACACCGGUGGCGAAGGCGGCCUGCUGGGCAGUGGCUGACGCUGAGGCGCGACAGCGUGGGGAGCAAACAGG
rnacentral:rRNA from 1 species